ensembl:lncRNA
AGAUUUUGCUGGAGAUUCUUGCAUACCUGAGGCCUUCUGAGGUACACUCUAUGCUCAGUGAACAAACCACAGGACUGAAGGACCAUCUUUGCCUUUUCACCAACGUUUUGUGAAAGCCAACAAUAAUAACCUAGGGAAGAGUAAGAAAAAGAACGAUGUGAAAGUCUGAAAUUGUCCCCAUGUUGCUGAAUGUGGAAUAAGGCUGGAGAAACUGGGAGGGAAGAUGGAUGGAGGUCAAGAGGCUGGAGCUGCAGAAGCUGGAGGGUGGUGGACCAACAGGAGUGGAAUGAGAUUCACAACAGCAAUGUGCAUGACCAAAGCCAAGCUUGGUUUUGGUGUCCAAGGCUCCAAAGAACCUCUCUUUCAAAGUGUCACUUCACUGUGGCACAAUCUUUGAAGUUUUUUUUUUGUUUGUUUGUUUUUAUCAGAGUUUCAAUAAGUGUUCAAAGUGAGAUUAUUCUUCUUCUAUUAUUUGGUUCUUGACUAAAUCCAGACUUGAGCAGUGAUCAGGACCUUUCCUGAACAUCUGUGGACAGGUACACAUGACACCUCACAGAAUUGCUUUGUGUCCUUUCUACAUUCAGCACACCCAUCAUGGUAGCUGCUUUUUAAUGGGCUGUAAAUUCCCACCCACAUCUUGAAACAUCCUUCCAUCCACUGCUCAGACUUGGAUGCCAUGGUGAUAUGUGUCCACGAGGCACUAUGCUGCAUGUGUCUAUGCUGCAUGCAGACCAACUAGCUCUGCACAAGUUGUGCCAGGUGACAAACUACUCAGCUGAAGAGCAGGAGAAGCCACUCAAGCACUGCAAGGGCCAUUCUGCAGCUGGAUAUGUUAGCCUGUGUAGAGGUCUACCCUACCAGUCACGUAAAGGAUGUCAUUAUUGGCACGAGUACAUCAGACACCCAGUAGAUCUGUGAUCAACAGGUUUAAUGUCAGAGAACAAGCUGUUGGUGCUUUAAUAGUGAAGUGGAUUAAAACCUCGAUUACCCCUGAUUGAUGGGUUUUGUGGUGUGCCUAGGACUGGCUUCAAAAGAAAAGGCUUCUUGUACUCAACCAUGGCCAUUAAUGGCAUCAGGUUUGCAGGCCAGAGUGAGUGCGUGAAUAUAUCAACCGAACAAAAUGCUGCGUGAUCAUUAUGCUGCUCUUAAUCAACUGGAAGGCACCUAUCUGAAUGCAACAGAUAAAUGCGCCAGAUGGUGCUGAAUACUUUUUCUUCACUCCAAAUAAGGCAGUAAUCAGCAGGACAUCUGAGUCCAGGCUGGUUUUCCAAGGCCUCAUCCAUCUCCUGCUCUUACCCACAAGAUUAGAUCCAGCGCUAGGGCACCGAAGAGAACAAGUUUAAUUCCACAGCUGGGAGUUUCAAUGCAGUUGAACCUCAGCCCUGCACAUCCUACCCAGACAAUGAAGGAGUGAAUUAUUUUUUGUUUAGAGAAUAAAGAUGACUUUCAG